AUGAGGCGGACAAAGCCGGUCACCCGCCGCACGGACAAAAAAGGCCAACGCAGAGACUUAAUUUGUUUCCUAAAUCCUAAAAAGUGGUCGAGUGCUCGUUUGCUCGCGCGAGCACACGCUCUCGCGCGCCGUCGGAUCGGCAUCGCGCGGUUGCGCGUCGAUCGCUCCGACCCGGCGACCCGGCGCUGCCUCGUCCAAGAAUCCACCCCGUUUCUCUGCCUUGUGGAGCCCACGAACCACUCCUCUCUGUCUCACCUUCUCCCUUCCCCCGUGCACACUUCCGUUCCUCCAUGGCCCGGCGAGAUCCACCGCGCCCGCCUCGACCGGCAGCGAUGCGCCCCCUGCCCCAGACCGGCAGCGAUGCGGCCCCGCGCCCUGCUUCUCCCUCCCCGCGUUGUCCCGCGGCCCGCCGCGUCGAUUCCUCGUGGGGUCGAUGCAUCCCGCGACUGGGACCUUCAAUUCCUGUCAGAUCCAGGCCCUUCUCAUCCAACGACGACAACAAAACACGACGGCGGCUGCUCUGGCCGCCCCCCGCAGAUUCCAACUAGCGACGCCCCCUCUGCUCGCGCGCCCCUCGGAGAUCCCCUACAGUUCAACUCCCUGGCCGCGCAGUACAGGGAGGAUCCUCUCGUCCAUAGCGUUGCCUGUAGGGGUCAUGUGGACGACGGCGAGAAGCACAACGAGGUGGAUGUGGUGCAGUACCUUACAGUAGAUUUCCCUCCCGCUCUUCAUCCACAGGUUCUCCUUCCUCAAUUGGAGCUGUUUCCAAUUCCCCUGUCGGCACUUCUGUCUUCCAUUAGUACAACACUAGCAAGCAAAAACAACAGAGGGGAGGAGAGAGGUAUCGGAGUAUCGACGACUAGCAAGCAAAGCAAGAGGAAAAGCGAAGGGGGCAGCGCCAUCCGUGCGCCGCGACCACCUAGCAGGGUGGUGCUAGAUCUGGGAAACAUCGUCACGAGUGAUCGAGGAACUGGACCGCAUCACCGGUUUUAUGCACACACCCAAGCAAGAAGCUUCAACAUCCACUUUCAGAUUUGGGUCUGGACACAACCCGGACGGUCUCUGUAUCCUUCUCAUCCGUCUGUGUCCGGUUUGGCCCACCUGUCAUCCACCCACUUCUCUCUCCUCUUUCUCUGCAACAGCCCACGCACUGCACACAUCACUCCUCCACCUCUUUCUCUCUCUCGGCCACAAUGCGAUGAACACGGCGGCCUCCCUCUAGACGUGAUGGGUGCGGUGGCGCUCCCUCCAGGCCGGCGGGAGCGCACACGACAUGGCACAGCGAGGUGGUCUACGCGUGGACACGGAGACCAUGGCUGCAGCGAGGGAGGUGACAGUGGCCAGCAAGAGGCACUGCCCACGGCUGGGAGUACUCCAUGGCCACUCCCGCGCGCAGCUCUUUGGCCACUCGGGCUGCACCGGCGUGCAGCUCCGCGGCCACUCAGGCAUGCAAUGCCUGACAACGACACCCUUCCUCGUCCAUGUCUCCCUCUGAGGGUGAAAGCAAGGCGCGAAGGCACUCCCUCCGGCACCAGGCGUGGCAGUAGUGGAAGUGAAUUCGUCCAGCUCCAGCGUGCAACGACCUGGGUUGUGCCCACCUGUGUGCCCUUCAUAUGUGCUUCUUCUUCCUCUCCACGCAAUUCCCCUCUGUCUCUACCUAGCACAUCCUGGCGUGAGGCGAGGAGUUGCUGCGAUCUCGUAGCAUCUGGUACUCAGAGCCCAAAUCAAUCUGCAUCCGCUGAUCUGAAAAUUCUCAUAAUUCUCAUGAUCUAUAGAUCAGUCCAUCGAUUAGCUCCUAAUUCCAGGCAAAAGGUGCGGAUCCCCUCGGCGCGCUCCAACAAGUCGACGCUCUCAGCUCGCAUGGCGGCGGCAGAGCUCUCCUUGGCUGAUCUGCAGAAAUUGGUGCACGACACGAUCCAGCAGAGCAAGGCGGUCUCAGAAGCGGGCGCCGCCACAUCAGAGCAGGUGAACGAGCUCCAGGAAUCUCUCCACAAGUACACGUCCUCGUCAGCCAAGGCAUUCGAUGCGCUUGCGAAGACGAACACGGACUCGUUGGGCCGUGCCGAGGCCACGCUCGGUCGCGUUCUCAUCGCCAACAGUUCACUUGAUGCAGCAAUGGCCCAGAUGAAGCUGGCGCUGGAUGGAGUGCCGCCUCGACCACAACGCUCCGCCCCGCUGUGCAUGGAAGGACAGAGCAGUCUGCAAGCGCCACAGGCGAUAGAUCAGCGGGGGCGUCGUCCUAAUCGACACCAACCACACGACAGUGAGCAAUAUCAGUUUCGACCCCCUACCAGAGAGUAUUUCUCGGAUGACCAGGAGGACCCAGAUCACUCCCCUGCUAAUGGCCACCGAUCGCAUCACAACCGAUACAAGCCACAAAUUCCUCAGUCUGAUUGCCCCAAGUUUGAUGGAGAGGACCCCAAAUGGUGGAAACAACGGUGUGAGAAGUACUUCUGGAUGUACAAUGUGCAGCAGGAGUUAUGGGUCGAUUUUGCAACAAUGCAUUUCGCAGGCAACGCAGCUCGGUGGCUUCAGACUUACGAAGCCAUGCAUACGGUUGACAGUUGGGCAGCUCUGUGUCUUGCGGUGUUUGCCAAAUUCAACAGAAACAAAUACACCAGAGAUAUUGAUGUGUUCUUUGCACUGAAACAAACUGACACCGUGGGUGCAUAUGCUCAUAUGUUUGAAGAGCACAUGCAUAAGAUGUUGGUGUACAAUCAGCCGUAUGGCGAGACGUUCUUCAGUAACCGCUUUGUUCAGGGCCUCAAACCAGCUAUAAGAGCACCUGUCAAGCUGCAGCAGCCGAGUAUAGUAGAUUUGGCUUACUCACUGGCACAAACACAAGCAGCAUAG
rnacentral:rRNA from 1 species